rnacentral:lncRNA from 1 species
CCCCCCAUCUCCUUUCACUUCAAUCUGACAGACCACAGAAUAACGAUAACACGUCAUAAUUUAAUAACAAAAACAAAAUAACACAAAAAAAAAAAAUACAUCUGAUUAGCAUUUUAAGAAUUGGCACAGAAUAGACAUAGUUUAAUAUAAUACUGUAUAAUGACAAACGUGUAUGUCAAUAUGUCUUCACAAUAACCGUUACAGAUAUAGAGCAACAGAAAAGUGAAAAAUCUUAAUUAAUGUUUCUUGUUAGACAAAUUAUAUCAAAACCUAUACCUAAAUAAGAAAAUCGUAAGGGUUCUGCGUUACCAGUGUCUCGCCUACUUUUGCUGUUGUCGAAGUUUUCAUAAACAAGCUUCACUCCAAGUUUAAUUUUAAUAACUUUCUCAAACUAUCCUGAAUUUUUAACAGAAGUUUGUUAAUGAUCAUAAGAUUGUAUCGAAAUAGCAUAUCAUAAACAGCUUUGCCAUAUUGUUGAGAUCUAAAAAAGCAAUCCUUAUGUCUUGACUUUUGCGACUUUCGACGCAUUGUAUACGCAACACGGUGAGCACUAUAUCUUGAUUAAAUAAAAUGUCCACAUGAAGAAAAUAUUUCAAUUUAAACAUAAUAAAUAAUUAUUCCAUUGGUUGUUCAUUUUUUUGAAAAUACACAAACUGUGAACUAGUGUACUAAAAUAAAGGUAUCUACAUUGAUUCAGUGCUAAUGUUCUUAAUUAAAUAAUUUCAAUAAAUGGUGAGCACGUUCAAUAAAACUAAUUCUACAUUGCAUAUAAAAAACAUAUCUAUACAUAAACUUAAAUCAUAAAACAUCUAUUGUAAACCACGUGACUGUUGGCCAGGUAAACUUAAAUCAUAAAACAUCUAUUGUAAACCACGUGACUGUUGGCCAUGUAAACUUAAAUCAUAAAACAUCUAUUGUAAAUCAUUACACAACAGCUACGUGACUGUUGGCCAGGUAAACUUAAAUCAUAAAACAUAUAUUGUAAACCAUUGCACAACAGCUACGCGACUGUUGACCAGGUAAACUUAAAUCAUAAAACAUCUAUUGUAAACCAUUACACAACAGCUACGUGACUGUUCGCCAGGUAAACUUAAAUCAUAAAACAUCUAUUGUAAACCAUUACACAACAGCUACGUGACUGUUGGCCAGGUAUUCUUUU